rnacentral:rRNA from 1 species
AUUGAACGCUGGCGGCAUGCCUUACACAUGCAAGUCGAACGGCAGCACGGACUUCGGUCUGGUGGCGAGUGGCGAACGGGUGAGUAAUGCAUCGGAACGUACCUUUCAGUGGGGGAUAACUAUCCGAAAGGAUAGCUAAUACCGCAUAUUCUGUGAGCAGGAAAGCAGGGGAUCGCAAGACCUUGCGCUGAUUGAGCGGCCGAUGUCAGAUUAGCUAGUUGGUGAGGUAAAGGCCCACCAAGGCGACGAUCCGUAGCUGGUCUGAGAGGACGACCAGCCACACUGGGACUGAGACACGGCCCAGACUCCUACGGGUGCAG